rnacentral:misc_RNA from 1 species
AGGUACUCGAUAACACAAGUCCAUUGCACCUUGAAAAACAAAAUCUUGAUCCUCAAGGACCUUAAGGAUUGUCAUUGUUUGAUUCAAAAACUCACUCCUUAGUAUAGUGUAAGCUUGACCUAAUAGGAAUGUAAAUUGGGUACCCGAAUCAACCAUGGUUUGACCCGCCCCAGUAUGAUCGGGUAUAAAUAUGGAUUCAGGUAUCGGAAGUAAUUUAUUCGAAACUUUAAUACCUUCAAGUUUAA